rnacentral:lncRNA from 1 species
GUUUGAUGGGACUGGAAACGGGGUUGAGCUCUUUGCCAAGAGCAGAGUGCAGCGAUGACCGAAGUUGUCCACACUCACAGGCCCAUGGCUGCAGCAGAUGUAUGCCAAGAGUAUCUCUGGAGGAGACAGGAAGAGCAAGAGCUCUGAGAAAGGUGUGCAUUGCAUUCCAGUGCGAGAUACGGCCCAUAAAUAUGUUGUCUUGGAUCAUCCUGCCCGCAGUGAGCCAGGACUUGUGGAGAGGAAAUUGCUUUGGGCCGGGACUGUGUUAACUGUUUGACGUUGGCUCUUCCAUGAAGGACUGGGUGCAUUUUCCCACAGAAGUAUUGCCUCAGAAGUGCCAUCUUCAGUGUGCAACCACUCAGGUAAAGAGAACAGUUACAGUAGGGUAAGAAUAUAGUUCAYAUAUUCUCUCUUUCCUGCCACACACAUUGCUUUAUCUUGCAUUACAACUGAGACUAAAUCUUUUGGAAACUGUGUGUCAAGGCUGUUUGCACUCUGAAGGCUGCUCCACUCCUCCGUUGUCUUGCUGACUUUGAAGAUUUGAUUGUAAUGUUAUUGUGUUUUUAGUUCAUGGCUAUAAAUGUGUUUUCUGGUAAUGUUCACACAGAUGUAGGCAAUUUCCAAACAGAAACAGCACCAUUGACACUACUGAUGUCCUCAAGACCCUGAGGUCUGAGGACAAACCRCUGAAUGGAGAGGUUAAAUGAAGGAUUGGAGAAUUGGAGUUACCACCCAAUAGAUGAGACCAAAAUAAACACCCUCAUCUUUUACCA